rnacentral:tRNA from 1 species
GCGGGAAUGGCUGAGUGGUAAAGGCAGUGAAUUCAAACCUCACAGGAGGUCCUGCGGUUCAAAUCCGCAUUCCCGUA